rnacentral:rRNA from 1 species
UGGGGAAUAUUGCGCAAUGGGGGAAACCCUGACGCAGCGACGCCGUGUGAGGGAAGAAGGCUCUCGGGUCGUAAACCUCUGUCGGGAAGGAAGAACCUCUCAGGGCUGAACAGGCCCUGGGACUGACGGUACUUCCAAAGGAAGCACCGGCUAACUCCGUGCCAGCAGCCGCGGUAAUACGGAGGGUGCAAGCGUUAAUCGGAAUCACUGGGCGUAAAGCGCGCGUAGGCCGUCUUUUAAGUCGGACGUGAAAGCCCUCGGCUCAACCGGGGAACUGCGUUCGAUACUGGGAUACUUGAGUCCUGGAGAGGGUGGCGGAAUUCCGGGUGUAGGAGUGAAAUCCGUAGAUAUCCGGAGGAACACCGGUGGCGAAGGCGGCCACCUGGACAGGUACUGACGCUGAGGCGCGAAAGCGUGGGGAGCAAACA